UCAAUGCACUGAAAGUGACUA
rnacentral:miRNA from 2 species